UCAGGGUUGGGGGGCUUGCCAUGCGAGUCGAGCGGUAGCACAGAGAGCUUGCUCUCGGGUGACGAGCGGCGGACGGGUGAGUAAUGUCUGGGAAACUGCCUGAUGGAGGGGGAUAACUACUGGAAACGGUAGCUAAUACCGCAUAAUGUCGCAAGACCAAAGUGGGGGACCUUCGGGCCUCAUGCCAUCAGAUGUGCCCAGAUGGGAUUAGCUAGUAGGUGGGGUAACGGCUCACCUAGGCGACGAUCCCUAGCUGGUCUGAGAGGAUGACCAGCCACACUGGAACUGAGACACGGUCCAGACUCCUACGGGAGGCAGCAGUGGGGAAUAUUGCACAAUGGGCGCAAGCCUGAUGCAGCCAUGCCGCGUGUGUGAAGAAGGCCUUCGGGUUGUAAAGCACUUUCAGCGGGGAGGAAGGCGUUAAGGUUAAUAACCUCAUCGAUUGACGUUACCCGCAGAAGAAGCACCGGCUAACUCCGUGCCAGCAGCCGCGGUAAUACGGAGGGUGCAAGCGUUAAUCGGAAUUACUGGGCGUAAAGCGCACGCAGGCGGUCUGUCAAGUCGGAUGUGAAAUCCCCGGGCUCAACCUGGGAACUGCAUUCGAAACUGGCAGGCUAGAGUCUUGUAGAGGGGGGUAGAAUUCCAGGUGUAGCGGUGAAAUGCGUAGAGAUCUGGAGGAAUACCGGUGGCGAAGGCGGCCCCCUGGACAAAGACUGACGCUCAGGUGCGAAAGCGUGGGGAGCAAACAGGAUUAGAUACCCUGGUAGUCCACGCCGUAAACGAUGUCGAUUUGGAGGUUGUGCCCUUGAGGCGUGGCUUCCGGAGCUAACGCGUUAAAUCGACCGCCUGGGGAGUACGGCCGCAAGGUUAAAACUCAAAUGAAUUGACGGGGGCCCGCACAAGCGGUGGAGCAUGUGGUUUAAUUCGAUGCAACGCGAAGAACCUUACCUGGUCUUGACAUCCACAGAACUUUCCAGAGAUGGAUUGGUGCCUUCGGGAACUGUGAGACAGGUGCUGCAUGGCUGUCGUCAGCUCGUGUUGUGAAAUGUUGGGUUAAGUCCCGCAACGAGCGCAACCCUUAUCCUUUGUUGCCAGCGGUUCGGCCGGGAACUCAAAGGAGACUGCCAGUGAUAAACUGGAGGAAGGUGGGGAUGACGUCAAGUCAUCAUGGCCCUUACGACCAGGGCUACACACGUGCUACAAUGGCAUAUACAAAGAGAAGCGACCUCGCGAGAGCAAGCGGACCUCAUAAAGUAUGUCGUAGUCCGGAUUGGAGUCUGCAACUCGACUCCAUGAAGUCGGAAUCGCUAGUAAUCGUAGAUCAGAAUGCUACGGUGAAUACGUUCCCGGGCCUUGUACACACCGCCCGUCACACCAUGGGAGUGGGUUGCAAAAGAAGUAGGUAGCUUAACCUUCGGGAGGGCGCCUACCCUUAGAUGUUACGGG
rnacentral:rRNA from 1 species